rnacentral:rRNA from 1 species
GGGGAAUAUUGCGCAAUGGGGGCAACCCUGACGCAGCCAUGCCGCGUGAAUGAAGAAGGCCUUCGGGUUGUAAAGUUCUUUCGGUAGCGAGGAAGGCACUUAGUUUAAUAGACUAGGUGAUUGACGUUAACUACAGAAGAAGCACCGGCUAACUCCGUGCCAGCAGCCGCGGUAAUACGGAGGGUGCGAGCGUUAAUCGGAAUAACUGGGCGUAAAGGGCACGCAGGCGGUGACUUAAGUGAGGUGUGAAAGCCCCGGGCUUAACCUGGGAAUUGCAUUUCAUACUGGGUCGCUAGAGUACUUUAGGGAGGGGUAGAAUUCCACGUGUAGCGGUGAAAUGCGUAGAGAUGUGGAGGAAUACCGAAGGCGAAGGCAGCCCCUUGGGAAUGUACUGACGCUCAUGUGCGAAAGCGUGGGGAGCAAACAGGAUUAGAUACCCUGGUAGUCCACGCUGUAAACGAUGUCGAUUUGGGGGUUGAACUUUAAGUUUGGCGCCCGUAGCUAACGUGAUAAAUCGACCGCCUGGGGAGUACGGCCGCAAGGUUA